CGGGGCACAGUGAAUACGGGGACGGAGAAGGGAAGUCCGGUCUGCCCCGGGCGGGGCGUAUGUUCAGUCUAGAAACAAAGUUCCCAAACCCCGCGGAGAACAACGCCAAAAAACACGACCGCGAGUGGAGCGUGGAGUGGUCCGAGGACCCGGGGAGGGAAGGAACUUCCCCGAGGGACUUCCUCGGCCUCCAGCCGCCACCUUUCUCCCCUUUUAGCCCCAAAGCCCGGUUUGGGAUGUUAAAUGCGCUUCGGUUUAUGGACAAAUUUUAGGGAGAGAGAGGUAGAGAAGAGCGCUGUGUCCCCACCCCCCAUGUUCAGUGCCGCUGUUUGCGUUUUAAUGCUUGUUUGCUUAUUUUGCCGAAGGAGCCAGCUGGCAGGGACUUACUCCGCAAACCUUUGCUAAAGCGUCUCUGCACAGUUCUGUGCUUUCGAGGCACCGAGACACAAUGUUACCCCUACAUCUGUGGUAUAUGCGAAGAGACAACUUGGAACAAGGUUACAAGCGAGAGUUACGGGGCCCUCAUUAAUCACGCUCUCUUCAACCAAACAGCCCGUCCACCGAUUUCCAGGCUGUAAAUAACUGCGAGAAUUUAACAAUUAGCCCACUCUUCAAUGAGGCUUUCUUCUAGCACACCCCUGUCUAUGAAGUAACUUAAAGAGAAGUCACAGACUCAGAAUUUCUAAGUGUGAAGGAAUUUCAGAGGUCAUCCAGUCUAACUUCAUACCUAAAGUAUGAAUUCCUUUCAUAACAUCUCCAACAGGAAGAACAUAAGUUUCCUGAAGACAAGGACUAUGUCAUUUUGCAACUUCCACCCUGUGAUUCUAUUUCUCACAAGUAAAACAGAUUUGAACCUCU